rnacentral:rRNA from 1 species
GACGAACGCUGGCGGCGUGCUUAACACAUGCAAGUCGAACGCUGAAGCUCAGCUUUUGUUGGGUGGAUGAGUGGCGAACGGGUGAGUAACACGUGAGUAACCUGCCUCCUUCUUUGGGAUAACGCCCGGAAACGGGUGCUAAUACUGGAUAUUCACUGGUCUUCGCAUGGGGGUUGGUGGAAAGGGUUUUUCUGGUGGGGGAUGGGCUCGCGGCCUAUCAGCUUGUUGGUGGGGUGAUGGCCUACCAAGGCUUUGACGGGUAGCCGGCCUGAGAGGGUGACCGGUCACAUUGGGACUGAGAUACGGCCCAGACUACUACGGGAGGCAGCAGUGGGGAAUAUUGCACAAUGGGCGCAAGUCUGAUGCAGCGACGCCGCGUGAGGGAUGGAGGCCUUCGGGUUGUGAACCUCUUUCGCUCAUGGUCAAGCCGCAACAAUGGUUGUGGUGAGGGUAGUGGGUAAAGAAGCGCCGGCUAACUACGUG